rnacentral:lncRNA from 1 species
AUCUCCAUGCCGAGGUAGUAGCGCGCCUCUCCAAGGUCUCGUACAGCGAAGCAACCAGCUAUGGCCGCCUUGGCGGCCGCAACCAACUGCGGGUUGUCCGCCGCCACCAGCAUGUCAUCAACGUGCACGAGCACAUCGAUUGAGCCAUCGGACCCCCGCUUGACGAAUAGCGCGGGGUCGGACGCAGACGGUUCAUAGCCUAGCUUGCCCAGCUCCGCUGCUAGCUUCUCGUACCAGCAACGUGGGGCUUGCUUGAGGCCGUAAACAGACUUUAACAGCCGGCACGCCUGUGACGGGUCGCCGUUGCUGUAACCUGGGGGCUGUCGCAUCCACAGCUCCUCUGCCAGGUCACCGUUCAAGAAGGCCGUCUUGACGUCCAUCUGAUGGACCGUCAUACCUCUGGCAGCUGCCACAGCUAGAAGUGCCCGCAGGGAGGCUGCACGCGUAGUGGGCGCAAACAGCUCUCCAUAGUCUAUGCCCGCUCGCUGUUCAAAGCCUUUCACCACUAAACGCGACUUGUAGCGUACCUCACCGCCUGGCUCCUGUUUGAUUUUGUAGACCCAGCGGCAGUCCAGGAUGCGUGCACCGGGUGGCGGCGUGCCCAACUCCCAGGUCUUGUUGGAGAGCUGCGACAGAAUCUCGUCAUCCAUCGAAGUUCUCCACUUGUCCGCUUGCGGACUCGCCACCGCUUCCUCAUAACUGCGCGGCUCCUGCACCGUGCUGUUGCCUCCGCCGCCCGCAUUGCCGUCGCCUGCCUCAGCAUAAUUUGUGCUUCCCGACGCUUUGUUAAGCAGCGGUGGACUGCCCAAAUCUCCGCCGCCGCCGCUGCUGUUGUUGGCUGGGCAGACCGUGGCCAGCGGCGGGUGAAGAGGUUGCCGUUGGCUGCGUGUGUUGGGGCGGGGGGGGGGCGCUGGGUUCACUGGGGGCGAUGCAACCACUGGAGGUGGCGGUGUGGCGGGCUGUGUAGAGCCGCCGACGGGGUCGCCGCUGCCAGGACGGGCGGGGCCAGCGCCGAAGGAGGUGCCCGCCCGUUGAGACGCCAGGCCGCGGAGGUCAUCAUCGAAGGUGACGUCGCUGCUAACAGUCACCUUACCGUCGACGAGGACGCGGUGGGCGGCCGUGCCGCGCUCCGGUCCUAGGUAGGUUCCCGCCUCUGCGCGGGGACCGAGCUUAACCUGCUGGCUGGUUGGGACGCGGACGUAUGCCAGGCAGCCGAAUGUGUGCAGGUGACUGACGUCGGGGGUGACGACAUGAUAAGUUGCCCACGGCGUAGCCUCCCGGCCCUGAGAGGGGGAAACAUUGCGCAGGAGGUUGGCGUAUAGCACAGCUUCCGACCAAAAGCUGUCCGGGAGCGCGGCAUCGUACAGCAUAGCCUGCACACGGUCGAGGAGCGUGCGAUUGAGUGCGAUUGAGCCGCUCCGCUGCACCGUUCUGCUCCGGAGUGUACGGCGCCGAGUGGGUAUGCGCAGUGCCGCGCUGGUGUAGCCACUGUGCCAGCUGCUCGGCGACAAACUCGCCACCGUUAUCACUAUGAAGGGUGCGGACCCGUGCACCGUUCGGGUUGCGAGCCUCCAGCUGUGUCACCAUGUCCUGCAGCGCUUCGCCCACUUGGUUCUUGCUAACCAGUGUGCGAACGGCAGACAGACCGGAGGCACCGUCCAGCAGCGUUAGCAAGUAGCGAGCCCCUCCUCGGCCCGUGGUCGGCAUGGGCCCGCACAGGUCAGAGUGUACGACCUCCAGGACAUGCUGAGGCCGGUUACCGCGGCUGACGUGAGCUGUAGCUGUAGUCUUCGCUGUGACACAGGCUUCGCAGACACCCUCUGCCGCCUGACGCAGCGCCGCGGGAGUGACCCGUGGUCCAUGUACCAGCUGCUUGGUGAUAAGCUGCUCCAACGCCCGGUAACCAAGGUGGCCGAACUGGCGGUGCAGGCGCUGUGCUGCUGCGAGUUCGGCGGCUGAGCACUCAAGGGCGCCCAGCUGCCCUUGGCCGUUGCUGGCGCCGUUCGACUGGUCUCCGCCGGUGUCACUGCUGCCGGCGCCGUUCGGCUGGUCCCCGCCGGCGUCACUGCUGCUGGCGCCGGCGGCAAAUCUGCUAGCGCUGGUACCUCCGCCGGCUCUGUCUUCCGCAGCGCCGAGCGCACUGACGGCGCGUUUGGUCGGCGCCGCAUGCACGGGGCACGGGGCACGGGGCACGAUGCACGGGGCUCAUAACCUGUUGGUGAGACGCUAUCUCACAGGGACCUAGCAGACACGACUAAGGAGACAUUAGCCGUUACACGUAUUCGGGAAAUCCGCGACCUACCACCGAAAGCCCCUUUGCCUAGGCGUAAACGUGUGAAUCUGAGGUACUGUUACCGAUAAACAACAGAGACUUAUAAAGGCUUGGANNNNNNNNNNNNNNNNNNNNNNNNNNNNNNNNNNNNNNNNNNNNNNNNNNGCCGCCCGCAUUGCCGUCGCCUGCCUCAGCAUAAUUUGUGCUUCCCGACGCUUUGUUAAGCAGCGGUGGACUGCCCAAAUCUCCGCCGCCGCCGCUGCUGUUGUUGGCUGGGCAGACCGUGGCCAGCGGCGGGUGAAGAGGUUGCCGUUGGCUGCGUGUGUUGGGGCGGGGGGGGGGCGCUGGGUUCACUGGGGGCGAUGCAACCACUGGAGGUGGCGGUGUGGCGGGCUGUGUAGAGCCGCCGACGGGGUCGCCGCUGCCAGGACGGGCGGGGCCAGCGCCGAAGGAGGUGCCCGCCCGUUGAGACGCCAGGCCGCGGAGGUCAUCAUCGAAGGUGACGUCGCUGCUAACAGUCACCUUACCGUCGACGAGGACGCGGUGGGCGGCCGUGCCGCGCUCCGGUCCUAGGUAGGUUCCCGCCUCUGCGCGGGGACCGAGCUUAACCUGCUGGCUGGUUGGGACGCGGACGUAUGCCAGGCAGCCGAAUGUGUGCAGGUGACUGACGUCGGGGGUGACGACAUGAUAAGUUGCCCACGGCGUAGCCUCCCGGCCCUGAGAGGGGGAAACAUUGCGCAGGAGGUUGGCGUAUAGCACAGCUUCCGACCAAAAGCUGUCCGGGAGCGCGGCAUCGUACAGCAUAGCCUGCACACGGUCGAGGAGCGUGCGAUUGAGCCGCUCCGCUGCACCGUUCUGCUCCGGAGUGUACGGCGCCGAGUGGGUAUGCGCAGUGCCGCGCUGGUGUAGCCACUGUGCCAGCUGCUCGGCGACAAACUCGCCACCGUUAUCACUAUGAAGGGUGCGGACCCGUGCACCGUUCGGGUUGCGAGCCUCCAGCUGUGUCACCAUGUCCUGCAGCGCUUCGCCCACUUGGUUCUUGCUAACCAGU